AGAUGACCCAUGUCUUAUCUCAGGCUAGUGACUCCUGGUCUGGCUGGAAAGGUCACAUAAGACAGGAGCUGUUAGUGAAGGUGUUGCCUGCGAGUAGCCCUGAAAGGAGCAUUUACCUGUGUAUCUGUGGUCCUACAGUAUUCACUAAACUUGGCAUCAGCUUGUUCAGUGAGCUUGGUUACAGCGGUGAUGACUUCCAUGCUUUCCUUGGUUAAGACAUUCAAGAAGCAGUGACGUCUUCCUUGGUUAAGACCUUCAAGAAGCAGUGAGAACUACCUUGGUUAAGACAUGUCCAAAACGCAGUGAAGUCUUCCCUCAGAAACUCUUGUGUAAAGCCUCAGGAAGUAACAACAAAGCCACAUGCUGGAUUGAAAACUCUAAACAGUAUUCCACCAUAGACCAUUAUCAAUUUGCACAUUGCUUAACAGGGUUCCUCAAAGAACCAGAACAUUGUCUAGGGUUCAGUCAAAGUUUGGAUCUGGCCUCUACUAUUAUUAGCUCACUGAAAUCUUGUUCCCUGAAGGACUAAAAUGUUGUCUAAA